GACAGAGGGUGCAAACGUUGCUCGGAAUCACUGGGCGUAAAGGGCGUGUAGGCGGGAAUGUAAGUCGGGCGUGAAAUCCCUAGGCUCAACCUAGGAACUGCACUCGAAACUGCGUUUCUUGAGUAUCGGAGAGGAAAGCGGAAUACCUGGUGUAGAGGUGAAAUUCGUAGAUAUCAGGUGGAACACCAGUGGCGAAGGCGGCUUUCUGGACGAUAACUGACGCUGAGGAGCGAAAGCGUGGGGAGCGAACAGG
rnacentral:rRNA from 1 species